UUACCUCCUCCAGCUCUGGCAAGCAGAGGGCUCAGCUGGGUUACCCAAGUUCACAGGGAGCUAUUGACAUUCAGCUGCAGCUCUCGCUCAUUACUGAUCAGCGGGAGACAGUCUGGGUUAACUCUUGCUGCCCUGUUUCAAGAAUACAGGGAGGCCACAAAAGAAGCUGUAAGGGACCAUUCAUUCUCAACACUCCAAAGGCUGGUAAUGAUUGCUGUGGAAAAAUACUACCUUCCCAAAAGUACUUAUGGAUUUAAAGAUCAUCCUGAAGACAGAGCAACAGAAACGUGUGGGCUAAAAUAUAAAGAGGAAUGGCCCCCAGGCUCCAAGAGCAAAAUAUCAGUAACCUCAUAUUCAUCAUCUCUUAUACCAUCUUUUCUAAUACCCACAGCAAGCUUGUGAAUUUGGUAAGUUAUUCUUAACCUCAUUUGACAGAUAAAGAAAUUAAAACUAAAAGAAGUUUGCUUAUGAAGAUGACACAGGAUUAAACGAAAGAAUCAGGACUUUAAUAGAGAUCUCUGACUUUCAGAGUGACGCACCAACCACUUUGCAUAUUGCCCAAGAGGAAGGUAAAAUCAUUGGCAAGUUAAUGUAUACAUCUUUAAUGGUGUUAAUAAUUGUAAUUGUGCUACAUAAUAAUAAUGGCAUAAGAGACGAGCAGUGCACAUAAGUGGCUGAAAUUAACAUGACUUUUAAACAUAGCCAUACUUAGUAUUUUUGGCACCUAUGAGGGAGGGAAGAAAGUUUCUGAGUUUGCCACUCAUUGUCUGAAUUUGGGAAACUGAAGGUGACAAAAUUUCCUUUUUCCACCUUCCUAUCAAAGCUUGUUGAUGACAAAGUCUGUGCAUUGCAAUAUGAAAUGAAGUGUGGGCCCAAAUGAAAUCCCCUGUUUUGGAGGGUAAAUUAAUUCAAUCAGAGAGCAUUGCCUGCACCCAUCGCUCAGAUAAUAGAUAGGGAUCUUUCCUUUUAGUAUUUCAGCAGUGUUUUUUUCUUAAUCCUUAAAGAGAGAGGGGAUGCCCAGAGUCUGUGGAGAACAGGUCAAGCGGAGUUGUUACUAAGCGAGGUCAGAAACAGGUUUGUUUUGAUAACCUUCUACCUCCCUGGUCUCCCUUGUCUAGACCCCUCAGCGAGAACUAGAGCCCUCUUCUGGUUCUAGGCACUGCCCUGAAGCAUCCCAAGGUUCUUCUAAAUGAUUCUCAAAUUAUUUUGACCUCAGGGAAAACUCUUAAUCCCUCAGUGUAGACAAGGAUUCAGCAAAUCGUUUUGCUAAAGGGCUAGAUAGUAAAUAUUUUCACCUCCACAGGGCCAAAUGUUCUCUCACAACUACUCGAUAUGCAAAUCGUAGUGUGAAAGCGGCCACAGACAAUAUGUAAACAAAUGAGAAGGGCCAUGUGUCAGUAAA
rnacentral:lncRNA from 1 species